AGGCGAUGAAAGACGUAGUAACUUGCGAUAAGCCCAGAUUAGGUAGUAACAACCAUUUGAGUCUGGGAUUUCUGAAUGGGGAAACCCACUUACAUAAGUAAGUAUCCUUACCUGAAUACAUAGGGUAAGGAGGCGAACCGGGGGAACUGAAACAUCUAAGUACCCCGAGGAAAAGAAAUCAACCGAGAUUCCGAAAGUAGCGGCGAGCGAAAUUGGACUAGCCCUUAAGCUUUACACGCGUUAGACGAACGGUCUG
rnacentral:rRNA from 1 species